UCCGAUAUAGUGUAACGGUCAACAUAGCCGGUUUUCAUCCGGCAGCUCGGGGUUCGAUUCCCCGUAUCGGAG
rfam:Talaromyces islandicus isolate WF-38-12 genome assembly, contig: WF-38-12_scaffold00009